rnacentral:rRNA from 1 species
AUUGAACACUGGCGGAAUGCUUUACACAUGCAAGUCGAACGGCAGCACGGACUUCGGUCUGGUGGCGAGUGGCGAACGGGUGAGUAAUGUAUCGGAACGUGCCCAGUCGUGGGGGAUAACGUAGUGAAAAUUACGCUAAUACCGCAUACGAUCUAUGGAUGAAAGCGGGGGAUCGCAAGACCUCGCGCGAUUGGAGCGGCCGAUAUCGGAUUAGGUAGUUGGUGGGGUAAAGGCCCACCAAGCCAACGAUCUGUAGCUGGUCUGAGAGGACGACCAGCCACACUGGAACUGAGACACGGUCCAGACUCCUACGGGAGGCAGCAGUGGGGAAUUUUGGACAAUGGGCGAAAGCCUGAUCCAGCCAUUCCGCGUGCAGGAUGAAGGCCCUCGGGUUGUAAACUGCUUUUGUACAGAACGAAAAGGUUUCUACUAAUACUAGGAGCUCAUGACGGUACUGUAAGAAUAAGCACCGGCUAACUACGUGCCAGCCGCCGCAGUAA